rnacentral:rRNA from 1 species
UACGUAGGGCGCAAGCGUUGUCCGGAAUUAUUGGGCGUAAAGAGCUCGUAGGCGGUCUGUUACGUCCGCUGUGAAAACCCAGGGCUUAACCCUGGGCUUGCAGUGGAUACGGGUAGACUAGAGGCAGGUAGGGGAGAAUGGAAUUCCUGGUGUAGCGGUGAAAUGCGCAGAUAUCAGGAGGAACACCGGUGGCGAAGGCGGGUCUCUGGGCCGAUACUGACGCUGAGGAGCGAAAGCGUGGGGAGCGAACAGG